UAUAUAUAUAUGUGUGUGUGUGUGUGUGUGUUUGUGUGUGACUAAGCACAUAAAUGCAAAACAAAGUGGAAAAAUAGUACUCGAAUACCAAAAGUAGAGCAAUAUGCUUUUUUACGAGAGCUGUAAAAGCAUCACAAAAAACUGUUGCUCUGAGUUUCAA